GGCUCUAUGGUCUAGUGGUAUGAUUCCUGCUUUGGGUGACAGCAUCUGAAGUGCAGGAGGCCCCGCGUUCGAAUCGCGGUGGAGCCC